rnacentral:lncRNA from 1 species
CUAAGUGAUAGAGCAGCCCUUUUUUAUGGUUUGGCAGAUUCCCUAGAGAGCUGCAUUGGGAAGUAACAGUAAAGCAGAAUACCUACAGUCCAUGAAGUUGAGAAAUGAAGAAAUUCAGCUCUGAAUUGUUUAAUACGGUGUGUGGGGAAAACAUUGUGGAUAUGAAGCAUAGAAAUCAUGUAUCAAUUUGAAGUAACAGUAACACAGAAUGGCUAGAGACCAUAACUUGAGAACUGAAGAGAUGCAGGUCAUUGUUCUAUAUGGUGAUUGAUGGAACUAUGGUGCAGUUUUGAAUUGAUAAGGUGUGAAGUUACAGAAAAGCAGAAUAGCUACAGACCAUGAAAUUUAGAAAAUGAAGAGAUGCAUGUCUCAGUUCAGCAUGGUGUAUAUGGGAAACAUUGUGUAUGGCAGACCUCUGUUCAACAUGGUGUACAUGUAUAUGGGAAACAUUGUGUAUGGCAGACCUCUGUUCAACAUGGUGUACAUGUAUAUG